AACGAACGCUGGCGGCAGGCCUAACACAUGCAAGUCGAGCGAGGACUCCGGUCCUAGCGGCGGACGGGGGAGUAACGCGUGGGAACGUGCCCUUUGCUUCGGAAUAGCCCUGGGAAACUGGGAGUAAUACCGGAUGAGCCCUUUGGGGGAAAGAUUUAUCGGCGAAGGAUCGGCCCGCGUUGGUUUAGGUAGUUGGUGGGGGAAUGGCCUACCAAGCCGACGAUCCAUAGCGGGUUUGAGAGGAUGGUCAGCCACACUGGGGCUAGGACGCGGCCCGGACUCCUACGGGAGGCAGCAGUGGGGGAUCUUAGACAAUGGGGGAAGCCCUGAUCUAGCCAUGCCGCGUGAGCGAUGAAGGCCUUAGGGUUGUGAAGCUCUUUCAGCUGGGAAGAUAAUGACGGUACCAGCAGAAGAAGCCCCGGCUAACUCCGUG
rnacentral:rRNA from 1 species